rnacentral:rRNA from 1 species
GACGAACGCUGGCGGCGUGCUUAACACAUGCCAGUCGAACGAUGAAGCCUAGCUUGCUAGGUGGAUUAGUGGCGAACGGGUGAGUAAUACGUGAGUAACCUACCUUUAACUCUGGGAUAAGCCCGGGAAACUGGGUCUAAUACCGGAUACGACCAAUCUCCGCAUGGGGUGUUGGUGGAAAGCGUUAUGUAGUGGUUAUAGAUGGGCUCACGGCCUAUCAGCUUGUUGGUGAGGUAACGGCUCACCAAGGCGACGACGGGUAGCCGGCCUGAGAGGGUGACCGGCCACACUGGGACUGAGACACGGCCCAGACUCCUACGGGAGGCAGCAGUGGGCAAUAUUGCACAAUGGGCGCAAGCCUGAUGCAGCGACGCCGCGUGAGGGAUGACGGCCUUCGGGUUGUAAACCUCUGUUAGCAGGGAAGAAGAGAGAUUGACGGUACCUGCAGAGAAAGCGCCGGCUAACUACGUG